rnacentral:siRNA from 1 species
AGCCGCGUCAGAUGAUAUUGGUA